ensembl:snoRNA SNORA71 Small nucleolar RNA SNORA71
ACCUGCAUUCUGAAGUGAUCAUGGGCUGCCUGUGCCCUGGUCAUCAGUUACGCAGGGAGAGGAACUGAGAGCCGUUUCCCGUGUUUGAAGGGUCCAGCCCGUCCCUUUCAAAUGCUGGCGCUUUCGCACA